rnacentral:rRNA from 1 species
UGGGGAAUUUUGGACAAUGGGGGAAACCCUGAUCCAGCCAUGCCGCGUGAGUGAAGAAGGCCUUCGGGUUGUAAAGCUCUUUCGGCGGGGAAGAAAUCGCACAGGCUAAUACUCUGUGUGGAUGACGGUACCCGAAUAAGAAGCACCGGCUAACUACGUGCCAGCAGCCGCGGUAAUACGUAGGGUGCGAGCGUUAAUCGGAAUUACUGGGCGUAAAGCGUGCGCAGGCGGUUUGCUAAGACAGGUGUGAAAUCCCCGGGCUUAACCUGGGAAUGGCGCUUGUGACUGGCAGGCUUGAGUACGGCAGAGGGGGGUGGAAUUCCACGUGUAGCAGUGAAAUGCGUAGAGAUGUGGAGGAACACCGAUGGCGAAGGCAGCCCCCUGGGUCGAUACUGACGCUCAUGCACGAAAGCGUGGGGAGCAAACAGGAUUAGAUACCCUGGUAGUCCACGCCCUAAACGAUGUCAACUAGUUGUUGGUAGGGUAAAACCUAUUAGUAACGAAGCUAACGCGUGAAGUUGACCGCCUGGGGAGUACGGCCGCAAGGUA